UUGUAAGUGUCUAAGGGCGCAUGGUGGAUGCCUUGGCAUCGAGGAGCCGAUGAAGGACGUGGGGAGGCUGCGAUAUGCCUCGGGGAGCUGUCAACCGAGCAGUGGAUCCGAGGAUUUCCGAAUGGGGAAACCCAGCACGAGUGAUGUCGUGCUACCCGCAUCUGAAUAUAUAGGGUGCGGGAGGGAACGCGGGGAAGUGAAACAUCUCAGUACCCGUAGGAGGAGAAAACAAUUGUGAUUCCGCAAGUAGUGGCGAGCGAACGCGGAACAGGCUAAACCGCACGCAUGGGUAACCGGGUAGGGGUUGUGUGUGCGGGGUUGUGGGAGGAUAUGUCUCAGCGCUACCCGGCUGAGAGGCAGUCAGAAAGUGUCGUGGUUAGCGGAAGUGGCCUGGGAUGGUCUGCCGUAGACGGU
rnacentral:rRNA from 1 species